GGUAAGUGGAUUGUGUAUGUGUGACUUUGUAAAUCAUUGUAGAGGAUCACAUGACAAUCCAUGUUGGAGGAGGAGAGGAGAUUUAGCCAGAAGGACAUAAGCCCUUUGAAUAUUAGUUAGAAAUCUUCAGAACAUUACCUUCCUGCUGACUGCAUUACAGCCAAUCCCACUCAGGUUUAAGGAGGGUUGGAAUGGCGAGGAUUCUCAUCUAACAUCUGGACUGCAGUUGCAUUUUAAACAUGGCUUCCUGGAAAUAUACCAAAUGAAAGAAUAACUAUAAAGUUGAGAAUUUCAGGUUGGGGGCAAGCAGGCUUUUCAAAACUCCUUUGUUCAAAACUUGGCUCACAUCAGACUGAACAUGUAUUUUCCACUCAUUACAGCCAGCCUAAAGUAAAGUACUUGAACUAGACCCUCAGGUGAACUUUGGUCCUGGGGGAUUUUGUGUUCUUUGGUAAUGGUAUCUCUGUAUUGUACAAGAAACUCGUAGGACAGCCCUCUCCUCUUCCUGUGUUGCUCAAAUGGCGUGACCUUGAACCUCUGCCUUCCCAGGGCAGAUACUUCACAAGUAAGAGGAAAAACUAUCUGAUCAGGUAUCCCCUUCUCUGCCCCCUCUCUCCUGCUGCAGAGAAAGUGAUCAACCAGCAGCAGGUACCAGCCACAGUUAAAUGUACCUGCUUGGAGCUUUCAAAAAGCUAUUUCUGCAGUAAUGAAGAAAUUCGCAUUUCACCUCCCUCCACACAGGACUCACUGGAGAAAGAGGUAAGGAAGUUGAU
rnacentral:lncRNA from 1 species